GGAGAAAUGGCGGAACAGUUAAUUCUAUUUAUUUUAAAAUUGUUUUAGCCUUAUCUCAUUUUUAUGUUAACGGAGGUUCAAAUCCUCCUUUCUCCA
rnacentral:tRNA from 1 species